UCGGGAAUUUUGGGCAAUGGGCGAAAGCCUGACCCAGCAACGCCGCGUGAAGGAUGAAGUAUUUCGGUAUGUAAACUUCGAAAGAAUAGGAAGAAUAAAUGACGGUACUAUUUAUAAGGUCCGGCUAACUACGUGCCAGCAGCCGCGGUAAUACGUAGGGACCAAGCGUUGUUCGGAUUUACUGGGCGUAAAGGGCGCGUAGGCGGCAAUUCAAGUCAUCUGUGAAAUCUCCGGGGCUUAACUCGGAACGGUCAGAUGAUACUGCUUUGCUAGAGUGCAGAAGGGGCAAUCGGAAUUCUUGGUGUAGCGGUGAAAUGCGUAGAUAUCAAGAGGAACACCUGAGGUGAGGACGGGUUGCUGGGCUGACACUGACGCUGAGGCGCGAAAGCCAGGGGAGCAAACGGGAUUAGAUACCCCUGUAGUCCCUGAGCGGGCUGGCAAGGCGCAU
rnacentral:rRNA from 1 species